rnacentral:tRNA from 1 species
UAGAAUGAAGCUCGCUGGAUAGAGCUUUUAGCUGUUAACUAAAUUUUUACGGGAUCAAGGCCCGUCUUUCUAG